rnacentral:rRNA from 1 species
UACAGGGGUGGCAAGCGUUGUUCGGAAUUACUGGGCGUAAAGGGCGCGUAGGCGGCCUUCUAAGUCGGACGUGAAGGCCCCAGGCUUAACCUGGGAACUGCGUCCGAUACUGGGAGGCUUGGAUUCGGGAGAGGGAUGUGGAAUUCCAGGUGUAGCGGUGAAAUGCGUAGAUAUCUGGAGGAACACCGGUGGCGAAGGCGGCAUCCUGGACCGAGAUCGACGCUGAGGCGCGAAAGCUAGGGGAGCAAACGGG